UGUGUGGCCACACACUGUAGGG
rnacentral:misc_RNA from 1 species